rnacentral:misc_RNA from 1 species
UUGCCAACGUUGAUUCUGAAUUUUUAUUAAUAAAAAAAUGAAACUACCAAUUUGGGAGUAAAUGUAACCAGUAUAACAAUGUUAAUGUAACCAGAUGAAUUAUAAUUGAAUAAAAAUCUAAAUUUUCCAGAAGGAAACAAAAUGAUUAAAAAUGGAAAUGUGCUCCCACAGUUACAUAUGACACAUGAUGAAAUUUCGUAUGCCCUCUUCGUAAUCAUUAGACUUCAGUUAUAAUCGCUGCAUAUUGAAUGGAAACAUAUGAAUGAAA